UACGUAGGGAGCAAGCGUUGUCCGGAAUUACUGGGCGUAAAGGGUGCGUAGGCGGCGCAGUUAGUCAGAAGUGAAAUAUCGGGGCUUAACCCCGGGGCUGCUUCUGAUACUGCUGUGCUCGAGUGCAGGAGAGGUAAGUGGAAUUCCUAGUGUAGCGGUGAAAUGCGUAGAUAUUAGGAGGAACACCGGUGGCGAAGGCGGCUUACUGGACUGUAACUGACGUUGAGGCUCGAAGGCGUGGGGAGCAAACAGG
rnacentral:rRNA from 1 species